rnacentral:tRNA from 1 species
CUAAUGUUAGUGUAAAUGGUAACGUUAAGCUUUCUACUUAAAAGAGUUUUUUGAACACAUUAGA